rnacentral:lncRNA from 1 species
CCCCGGCGAAAAAGGGCGUGGCAGGGGCUUAACUCGAAAAGGGCUUAACUCGAAGGGCUUAACCAUAGAUAUCUCAUAUACACUAGAUAGCGCAUCCCACCCUGUAGGCAGGCGAAAAUUGAAGCCUGAUCGCAGUCGCAGUUUACGUGCGGCGGCCAUAUUGGUCGUUCCCACGGAGCGUAAUAAUUUGUAUAUUUUGUAUUGCGGAAAUGAACAAAGUUGACAAUAAAUCCUCUUUUAUGCAGUCAAUUUUGGUUUUUCAAGUGUGCAACUUGUUGUAAAUGAUGCCAGAUCGUUGGAGCUUCAUAUUGUGAAUAACGGGUAGGCAGAAUUUUAUUUUUUUUUUCAAAAAUAUCAAUAUUUGUCGACCCGUAUGAAGGGCGCCCAUAGGACAAACCUUAUGGACAAACCAUCAUUGUUGAUGUAUAUAUAAAUAUAGUUCCACCAAUUCCAAAUAAAACAUUUUGAGCCAUCGCCAUUGCUUCAUGGCAAAAUUGUGAAUGUAUUUGCAUAUUCUUUUGUAAAAGACAGCGACACUGAAAAACAUAUUUUAGUCACAGUUUAUCAAUGGCAAAAAUAGACUUUAAUUAUAAAAUCUUAAAUAGUCAAUAUAUAAAACAUUGAUACCAAAAAUGGUUCUUACUCCUUACUAUUUGUAUAUUUAUUACAUACAUACAACAUAUCAUAUAUUAUUUUAUAGUUCCAUGGAAUCACAUCAAGAUUAAAAUGUGUUAGAAGCUAGAGAAGAAUAAUUGCAACUUAGUAUAUUCGCAGGCAAUAUAACAUAAUUGAUAUUCUAAUGCUUUAUGUAAAUGUAGUUGAUAAUCAAACUUUCUAAAACCUUCAAUUGUAUGAAUGCUUCAAACUAUCUUUAAUAUUUGAUGUUAAGAAAUAUUUCUUUCUGUUGAGUCCUAGACCUUUUGUUUUUAAUUCAAGCAAUCAAACUGCCAAAUUACUGUAAUUAUUAACAGCAUAGGUCAUUGAUAAUCAGCUGAAUUUUAGAACUGCUUUGGGAAACCCUAUUUUGUAAUGAGACACAUUACUUCUUGCAUUAUUGUAUAUUGUAAGGUCAAUGGGAUAAAAUGCUUGAUGCACAGUAGAUUUUAUAAUCUUAAAUAUAGUUGCACUCACUAUUGUAUAAAUAAUUCUAUUGUUAUAAUAAAGUAUUACUUUUGACUUUGUGUAAUAGUGUUUUCUAAUUCUUUGACUCAUCAGAUGCACAAUAAUUAAACUUUUCUAAAAAAAU